rnacentral:rRNA from 1 species
UACGAAGGGGGCGAGCGUUGUUCGGAUUUACUGGGCGUAAAGGGCGCGCAGGCGGCUAUCCAAGUCAGGCGUGAAAGCCCCGGGCUUAACCUGGGAGGUGCGUCUGGGACUGGGUGGCUAGAGAUCGGGAGAGGAGAGUGGAAUUCCCAGUGUAGAGGUGAAAUUCGUAGAUAUUGGGAAGAACACCGGUGGCGAAGGCGGCUCACUGGCCCGUAACUGACGCUCAUGCACGACAGCGUGGGGAUCAAACAGG